rnacentral:lncRNA from 1 species
CUUAAAUUACAGUUAGAUGUAAUAUCUUAAAUUACAGUUAGAUGAUUCAAAAACAUUUAAACUACUGAUGCCUCAAUUCAUGUAAUUUUCUUAGUAUCUCGGCUUAUACUGGAGUCAAUAUUUUCCCAGUUUUUUUGUGGUAAAAUUAGGUGCCUCGGCUUAUAUUCGGGUCGGCUUAUACUUGAGUAUAGCCCGCUUUUCUCCCCGAGGCAACUAAUAGCCACGCACUGUGAUUAAUUUAAAACAAAGUAUUACAAUACUAACAAAACAAUUAAACAAUUAGUUGUGUGUGUGUCAUGUCAUGUUCCAUAGAUGAUGGUGGUUGGUGGUGUCAGCCUUAGCCGUUGGUGAUGGAAGGGGUUAAUGUCAAUCCUAGUUCUGAAAGGGCAGAGUAAUCUGUAAGUAAGAAGUUACAGGCAAAAGCAAUUAAGGGUGGAGGCUUGCAAGAGAUAGGAUGCAGCUGGGUUUAACUGGAGAUAAGGAGCUAGCCUGGAGACUGAUCUUCGGGAGAUAAGUAUUUGUCCUAUUUGGCUGUGGAUGCUGCUGGUUUGUCCCCCAGGUGCCCGCCUGUCACAUUUCUGUAAAGGACAGUCAUAUUAUGAAGCAAGGCCUCCUCGUGUCCCAUCAGUAUAAUCCUACUGGUUUGUUAAAUCCUAAACAUCUGCAGCAACAAGUAAGCACUUAAUUUAGAGAGCACCAAUGUGUACCUAAACAUAUGAUGUAAAUUUUACAGGAAAAGCUUUCAUUCCUUCAUUGCUGACAAAUAGGCCAGCGCAAUGUUUCAAAUAUGAUGAUUUUCUCUUUAGUACAUCAGUGUCCCAUAUUAAUUUCCACCAAUGAACAUGUUUUAUCUUAAAUUAACGCAAGCAAUAUGAAAGAAUUUUUUCCUGUUGUAUAACAAUGUGUUUAAAUAGUUAACCACAUACAAAAGUGUUUUUUUACUCUAUGUGCAAAACUGCAUCUAGUGUCCUUCAAAGGCUCUUUGAUUUCCCAAUGGAUUUGGACAUAGUUUUGAAUUUUAUAUAGGA